ACUGCAGCAUGGCCUCGAAACAACACGCUUGCUCAGAAUUGUCCUUCGAAUGCUGCUGUUCUCCCACGGGAAUCGGAAAUCCCAGGGCCUGCAUGCUUAACCCUUUCCACACCAUGGACACGCCUCAGGUUCUAAAGAGCAAAGCAUGUCACUCAGGCAGACCAUGACCUUGGCUCCUAAUCCGGAAGGCCAGUUUCAGGGAUGCCCACGUGGAGAAGAGAAAAUGACCAGAGAACAAGUGUGCUCACAGCCCUUGUGGGAAUAAUCGUGCCCACCUGGGGGGCUUUUCUGAAGACACUCAGAGCCGACUAAGAUAGGGGAGCGGUCUUGUUUUCUUUGGUGGCUCAUCUCUGCCUCUGUUUCUCCAUCAGAUCACAGUGAAAGCUGUAGCCCACAGUGUUGCUCACGAUUUCAGAGGAGAAUUGAAAAUGAGGAGGAAUGGAAUAUUCGCAAGUGUCUACUUGUCAACAAAGCGUGCCAGGUGUGUUCUCUCAUCUCCGGGGAUCAGCAGCUUCCUGUAAUCUCCCUUUAUGCCUUUCAUUCACUCUAAUCACAAGGAUUUUACAAGAGGCCCUCCUUGACCCCAGGCAUGAGCUCGGCCCUUUAUUUGUAAGUGAACUCAGCAGUGUUCACUUAACACUUUUAAGGAUCUGCGCCCAGGGAAGGGGAAGCGUGGUCAGACAGCAGGCUCUCUGAACUCACCUUUCUGGACAAAGAUCUCCCUAGGCAUUGUACACGCCUCCUUCUUUUCUUUCCCCUUGAGCUGUCCGGGUUUCACAGCAAGUUAUAAAGCGAAGAGCCUCACCUGCCUUUGAGACCACCUCCCCUUGGCCCAGCUCAGUAGCUGGUCCUCAGGUAAGUGCAUGUUAAGUUCCCAGACUGUUCCAGAGAGGGUGACCGACUGUCCUGGUUUGCCAGGACUCUCCUGCCUGGGAGACCUCCCAGUGUGGGGCAGACUGGGACCAUCAGUCACCCUAGCAGGGGACAGUAGGGAUCCCCUGGCUGUUUCUUUAGCAACCUGAGCGGCUCACUUGGGAGGCUGCAUGGCCGAGCAGGCGAAGCACUUACAGUGGAAGCGAGGCCUGUGAUGCUGUCAACUUGCUUCUUAACCCUAGGAUGCUGUGAGAAUUAAAUUACAUAGUAGCUGCAAAAUAAUUUGGCUUUCUUGGAGUUGGACACCACCUGAACCUGAGUGAAAUGAUUGUGCACUUCUUAAUGGCCUCCAUCUCUGGCCAAGCUGCCUUGGGACCAGAACAAUCAUCUAAGUCCCAGUUUCCAGCCUAAAACAGCAUGAGGACAAGGCCAGGAGGCCACAGCAAGGCUGUAAUCAGAACCCACAAGGAUUGCAUGGAGAUGCUGCAGUGCCGCCACCACCCAACGGCCGGAGCCCCCAGCAAAGAGUUUUCCACAAAAUGGGAGAAAAGUAUAAGAAGCUCUUCCUGCUAUGGGUAAGGGAAACAAGGCAACUCAGAGGACUGAGAGACUCAGGACUUCCAGACAGAGGAUCAGGCGUACCUCAUGCAUGGGUGUUUUGGAAGAAGGCCAUUUUGAAACCUACUCUGUAUCAUUACAGACUUUCAGUGAAUUAAUUUAGAAUAAAUCCACCUCCUUCCCUGUAUGUGGUAGAAUUUCACUGGGAUACAACGUGAGGACAGAGAUUUGAACCCUCAGUCCCACUUAUGAUGCGGGGCUUCAGGGGCACCACGGACAUGCUCCGCAUUCACCCAUCUGUGGGGGAGGACUAAGGAAGCUGCGCUGGUGUGUGAGAAAGUAAUGGGCUCUUUUAAGCCCUUUUACUUAAAGCAAUAAAAGAAUAACUGCGUCAUCUGCUGGAGUAAAAGUUUUCAACAGAUGACCGGCUUGGUUCUUAAAACACACACACACACACACACACACACACGAGGAGUGAACCACACAGCAUGCAAAUGAGAGGAACAAACGCUUUUGUUUGUUGGAGAUUAAUUUUUAUGGAAAGUUGUACAUUGCAGAUUGCAAUCAACCUGACACAUUCUCUCCCUCCUGCUCCUUCUCUCAGUUGGCUUUGAGGAGAGGCACUUCCAAGUUUGAGAAUUCAUCUUGUCUGAUUAAUGAUGUGUACACAGAGAUUUCAGUCUCAUCUUCCUUCUCUGGGUCCUUUUUAUUCAGUUGUUUGCUGUGCUACAACCCUGCGGAUAGAUGGUUCUGCCGUGAUAAAUGUAAAGUUUGCAUAAGCCAUGUAACAGCAGGACAGCCUAUUAUCACCGUACAUUUUCCAUGGCUGUGCAAACCUCUGUAGGCUAUUUUAUUGCUAAUAGAUCCACAGAGAAACAGUAGUGAUUUUACGACUCUUUUUAAAAUGGAAAUUCAUGUUUGAGAAAUACAACUGGGAGGAAACAGAUGUAAACCACUUAAGCAUUUGCAGAAAAUUGAGAUGCACACUCUUAUUUACAGACCUACAUAGCCUCCAUCGCUUUAUUUUCAAAAUUAAAAUAAGCAAUCUGUUUACCAUGGGAAAUGAUGAACUGUAAACUUGUUGUUUUUCCUUUUACAUGGCAAUGGCCGCCAUCGUUGGGUUUAAUGGCAGAACUGAAGCAGGCAGCGUGGCAAUUUUUUCCCCUUAGGUUUUAUUGUCUGUAAUGCAUUCCCUCUGUAAUCUGCGCGAGAGGUAGGUAAGUGGGAAAGAUUUUCGUGUAACUGUAUGUCUGAAUUCACAUUAUGCUUGAACAGCUAAAAUGAUUACCAGACACAUUAGAAAGAUUUUAACCAGGUAUUUAACACUAUCUGUAAAUUGCUUAAAAUACUGGAAGAGUCAACCUCCACAAAAACGCUUUCACAUGGCCAAACACAAAAGCACAACCCAUCCAAAAACAUUUAUUCUGGCCUCGUCCCAACUUUCUCACAUCUUUUGGAGUUGUGACAAAUGUCACAUGUUGGAAAGGAGAUACAAAUGGAAGCAUCACAAAACAAUAUAGCAAUGAGAAGUCUGUCCACCAGACUCAUCAGAGCAAGCUCCUUGUGGCAUGUGGAAGCUCCUCUGGUUUUUAAUUUCAGCAUUGAUCUUUUUUUUUUUUUUUUUUUUUAGGUCUAGAACUACAUUUUUUGUUGCGGCAAAAUAUAUGCAACACAAAAUUGACCGUUUUAACCAUUUCUAAGUAUACAAUUCAGUGGCAUGAAAUGCAUUCACAUUGUCGUGCAACCAGCACCACCAUCCAGCUCCAGAACUUCAUCACAGACUGAAACUCUGUACCCAUGAAAGCAAAGACUCGCCAUUUCCCCCUCUUCUCCCAGCCCCUAGUAAUUUCUAUUCUACCUUCUGGCUGUAUGAAUUUGCCUAUCCUAGGCACCUCAUAUAAGUGGAAUUAUACAGUACUUGUCCCUUUGUAACUAGCUUAUUUCACUUAGCAUAAUGUCCUCAGGGUUCACCCAUGUUGUAGCAUGUAUCAGAAUGUCUUUCCUUUCUAAGGCUGAAUAAUAUUCCAUGGUGUGUAUAUACCACAUUUUGUUUAUCUGCCCUGUGUGGCUAGUCCUGGGAUUUUAAUAUUGAGGAGGUAUCCCCAUCAACCCGGGGAUGGAAGUGGCCUGCUUAUUCGUGAGCACUGCAAAGCAGGACGGCUAAGGAGAAUGAGAGGCGUCCAGACUAGGUCUGCAGAAUCAGGCAGGGAGGGCUCCUGGAAACUAUAGGUUUCUGGUCUCUGUAUAACAAUCACCAGCUGUGGGAAUAUUUUGCUUUCAUCCUUAAGCUUUGUUUUAAAUGUCAAAGGAGACUAAGCUAGACCCUCUUAGGAACUGAAAUUUUUCUCGGAGACAAGAUAUGAUGGACUUCGGCCCAAAGUCAGAUAACAGAAUGUGUUUCCAACCCCAUGCCUCCCCAAGCCACUCACUGCCACUGGGGAAGGCACUCGGGAGACUCCCUGAUCAUGGCCCUUGGAUUGCAUCAAAUGAGGCACAGCCACAGUGAGCAGGCUCUGAGCUCACUCACUCUUGGUGGAAACCAUACUAUAUGGAGA
rnacentral:lncRNA from 10 species